rnacentral:rRNA from 1 species
UACGUAGGGUGCGAGCGUUUGUCCGGAAUUAUUGGGCGUAAAGAGCUUGUAGGCGGUUGUCGCGUCUGCUGUGAAAUCUCAAGGCUCAACCUUGAGCUUGCAGUGGGUACGGGCAGACUAGAGUGUGGUAGGAGAGACUGGAAUUCCUGGUGUAGCGGUGAAAUGCGCAGAUAUCAGGAGGAACACCAAAGGCGAAGGCAGCAUCCUGGGAACACCUGACGCUCAGAUGCGAAAGCCAGGGGAGCGAACGGG